rnacentral:rRNA from 2 species
CUUCCGUAGGUGAACCUGCGGAGGGAUCAUU